UACGGGGGGGGCAAGCGUUGUUCGGAAUUACUGGGCGUAAAGGGCUCGUAGGCGGCCAACUAAGUCAUACGUGAAAUCCCUCGGCUUAACCGGGGAACUGCGUCUGAUACUGGAUGGCUUGAGUUCGGGAGAGGGAUGCGGAAUUCCAGGUGUAGCGGUGAAAUGCGUAGAUAUCUGGAGGAACACCGGUGGCGAAGGCGGCUACCUAGACAAUUGCUGACGCUCAGGCACGAAAGCGUGGGGAGCAAAAGGG
rnacentral:rRNA from 1 species